ACGUUAGGGGAGCGGCCGAUGUCCGAUUAGCUAGUUGGUGGGGUAACGGCCCACCAAGGCGACGAUCGGUAGCUGGUCUGAGAGGAUGAUCAGCCACACUGGGACUGAGACACGGCCCAG
rnacentral:rRNA from 1 species